CAAAGAGUUAAGUUACCUUUUAAGCAUUUUGUGGGGUGGGGGAGAUCUGUACAGGGGGAAGCAUGCUACAGAAGUGAGAAACAAAGACAGUUAUUUAAUUAAUUGAGACAUGCAUUACAUCAUUUCUUACUUUUCAAGGAAAAACAUGUUUUGCAACUUGAGUUUAUCUGUCUAGUGACUUUGCAGCUGCACAGCUAGGGAAACAGGGUCUUCACAAUGCCUGGGAAAGGAGGAGAGAUAAGGCUCACUAGCCAUAGAAAAAUAGGCAGUUAGUUUUUAAAGGACUCCAGCUCUUUCUCUUUCUCAAGGGGAACUGGGUUUUCUUACAUACAACUUAGUUUCUGCUUACACACUCCUUAAUUUCUUUUAAUUCCUGUUCCAGAACAUCUGUGUUAUACCUUGAGAAUUCAAAGCAGAAAGCAAAAUCAAAGCCAGACAUGGUGGCUCAUGCUUGUUAUCCCAGCACUUUGAGAGACCAAGCUGGGAGAAUCACUUGAACCCAGGGGUUCGAGACCAGCCUGGGCAACACAGCAAGACCCAGUCUCUAUUAAAAAAUAAAAUAUAAAUACAUAAAAAGAAAGUAAAAUCAUACAGAAAGCCAGA
rnacentral:lncRNA from 10 species